UGGAAAGGUUUCGUUUGUUUUCUCGUGCUUUCCAAGAUUCCAGCAAUUCUUAGUGUUCUCAAUUUGUCUCUUUAUUGUUAGGUUUAGUCGAUGUAAAUUUUGCACCUAGAAUUGAAUUGUGUGAGGUUGUGCGGACAAGUAAAAGGGAACUUAUAGGCUAUGCUUCCAGCAAACUGGUGGAGGACAACUGACAAGAUACCAAAAUCGAAAACAAGCAGUCGAAUUGGUGAGCGAGGUGUCAGAAGAGAAAAGAUCUCGUGUCGAACAAGGCAUAGACCUAAUCCUAAUUGCAUCUGCUACUCCUAAUGCCACCGUCCAAGUAUAGUAAUCGAGACCUAGCAAAUAAAGAAAAUCCAGUGACUACCGACGUCAACUAACAAAUCACAAUUUCUAAUCGAUCGUCGAUCAGCGUGGAAGCACCACACAAGAUGAUGAAAACUUCCGGGGAAAAAAAAAUCUAAACUUCAUUCGUGUUGCUAAAUGCUAAUAGACAAUCCGAUUUAUCCUUCUAGUUGUUAACAAGCAGUGACGCAGUACUAUUGUGAGUGUUGGCUUUUUUUGAAUUCGAAAUUCAGAGACCAAGGUGUAGCGUAGAACUAGGUCAUUGCUAUUUUGAUUUUUUUUUUUAAAUGAAACAAAAAAUCACAAACAUGAAACAUCCCUUGGGGUUACCUUGCUUACGCAGGGAGCUGACAAUUUACGAUAAUUUUUUUAUUUGUCCCUAGAUGGCGCAUGGCGAAUAAGUUUCAGCCACUGAUAGCAGACAGCAUAU